ACAUCACUUUUUUCUCUCAAUUUUUCAUUUAUAAUCAGACCGAUACAAUCUCCCUCUAACCUUCGAUUAGGGCUUUUCUAUGAAUAAUAACUUCUCUUCGACGCCGUACCUCCGCCGCCGCGUUCGCCUCCACCUCCGCCUCCGCCAUUGCCGCUAAUGCCGAGCCGGCAUCUCUGUUGCUACUUCUUCCCUCAUGAUCGAACUAAUCAUUGUGAAGACAAAUUGAAAAAGGCGAAAAUCUUUCAACUCUGCAGGUGUUUUGAAUCACCCGUGGAUUGCGUGACAGGAUGCUUUCGAAGAAUUUGGUUACCGAAAUACUUGUGCAAUCUUCCCCGAGACCAAAAUGACACUAAACAGAUUCUCGUGUAUAGCAUUAGCUAGUGGCAACAGAGUUUCUGUAUGGUACUGCAGAAGGAGGCCUUUCAGAUAUCAACACGGUUUCGUUUCCCUCCCAAGAACAAUAAUUUUUAAUUUCUGAUUAUGGCUAAAAAUAUUUUUCAAGAAAGCUAACAUUCCGAGAAAUAGUUUCUCUAUGCUUGAUUAUUCAAAUUUUAGAUUCAUUUUUUCUUCAUCAACUUCAUUAGAUUUCUCUCUCUGUGUUGUUUGUUUAUUGUAGUUGCUGGAUGGCAGAAAAUAUAGGCAUUUUUUAUGGCCAAGAAGAGCGGAAGCAAUUAAGUCAGGGAGGACUUGCCAUGGUUCAGUUGUUGGAAUGGUUUGAUAUAUCUUACGCCAUUUCAAUAUCUUUUCAUAAAUAUAUGAUGAGUUAAUUUUAUCCAGCCUUGCUAUCUGAUUUCAAAAUUUUUAUGCCGACUGCUACUUUAUCACUGAAAACUAUAUGAUGAACUUUACAAAUUAGGGGAUUAAGAUCAAAGAUUGGCAGCAAUAAAGGGCCUGCUCUAUUGUAUCGAAAUGUUCUGUUUCACCUAGUAAAGUUAUUGGAUUGCUACUGACAAUAUGCCUAUAUCCAGGUUAGGUUAGCAUCGUAAUUGUGGGUUGCAACAUUGUUUGCCGAAUAUCAGAAAAAAUCUCAAAAAGACUUUCUUGUUCUCAUUGUCAUAUGUGCUGAACCACUUUUUCUGGGGUUUUAGAAUUUCAUGGAACACAUUUUACAUUGGAGCAUGGGAGCAAGGACAUUUUGUUGAACUAAGGAUAUGUAGACUUUGAAAGUAAAUGUAUUGUGUAGGUUACUUCAAGUGUUGUUUUGAAGAUAGAUUUUUUGAAGUUUGGUAUUGUAUAUUUUUGGAAAGCAAUAAUUCAUGUUUUGGGGAAUCCGAGUGAUUUUUAGCAUGUGUUUAUAUUCGUAUUGGAAAAUUAUACGAAUUUUUGGCAUGCGGUUAAAUUUUUGUAAA